UGUCACGCAUAAGUGCGCCACGCAAACUGACUGCUUCAAAAAACUGCGGUUCUGCAAGAAACACAUCAUCGCCAGGUGGCGCAUGUUAGCUUGAACGUUGGAGCUUUUAUUUGGAGAAGAAGUGGGAAAAUGGAUGUUGCACAGCUGACUCUGUUUGCAAAGUGGGAGCAUCUCCCAAGAUGAAACAUGAAAUUCAAGAAAGCACCGCCUGUCAGAGAGCCUUAACAUCAGCUGCCAUCAUAGUAGUAGCGCCGUCUGGUUCAACACGUUAAAGCAAAUAUCGAAGCACGAUUUUCUGCUGCUCUUUGUGUGCAAUUGAGGUCACAUCCAGGCUGCGAAUGGUGCUGAAGAGCCAUGGGGUGCAUGCACAUUACAUGUGCUUACAGUCCUUUUGAUGGGGUGGAUUUCUGAGCCACAGUGCGUUGAAAGGUUGGAGAUGAAAAGAAGAAAAGAGCGUUGUGUGCGUCGCCUAAGACAACAGUGCAGUCUGGCAGAGUGGAGAGCCCUCUAAUGACUGAGUAAACAAAUGCUCAACAUAUGGAGGCCUCAAUCGCCAGGAGCACCACCUCCUCUGCAAACACAGCUCACAUGUCACACUGCGAUUCGGGAUGUGUUUUGACGUUCGGAUUCAAAAAGCUGCUUCUAAAACACACAUUUUGAAGAAACACGACCACUCAAGCACGGAGCCGAAUUGUCCCAGUCCUCUCAUCGGCGUCGUUAGCACAGCGAGCGGUUUCUUUUUCUCAUUGUCUUCCUCUGGGUGAAGUCCAUUUUCUUCCGUUUCGCCAGAACUGCACCAUGAAUACCAUUUACACCCCGGUCUAAGAUGAAUAGGCAUUGCAAUUUGAAAUCUAGUCAAAGAUGAGCAGAUAGCGGAGGCUGCUUUCAGAGAGGACGACCGAGGCUGUGCUGAAUGAAGACUUGGGUGAUAAAAGCAGAAUAAUGGUUUUUCAGCUUCACUGCCUCCUCAGCAUCAGCAGAAGGAACUGAAAUUCAUCCACUGCUGCCAGAUAUUGUUCCACUUUCCAGAGAAAAUGAAGAACAUCUUCGAGAAAAUGACAGCAUUUUCCACACUGAAUAAAAAAGUACAUUUUCUUUCAUGUUUUACAAACAUGACUAUUUUUGUUUUUUAGGUGAAUUAAAUGUAUGACGAUCACAAAAUGAUGAAUUGAGAGCUGAUUUGUAUGCAAACUGAUAAAGGCGGCCCUGCUAUAAUCUGCGGUUUCCUUAAGAUAAGAAAGUAUCUCUUUAUCAGAGGAAACAAAACUUCUUAUCUCAUUGAAACAAGAUAAUUUUUUCUACGGAGAUUAUGGUUUCUUUUGAGGUACCAACAUGAUUAUGGUGUAGUCAUUGGCUGCUUUGUCUUUCAUAUGGCUUGAUUUUAUCAGUAUUGCUGUGUAUCAGACAUGAAUACGGUGGGAAAAUGGAUGUGUGAUCGUUUUUGUUGUCAUUUUGGUAAUUAAUCAUGUGAUGGAGUGCUUUGGAGCUGCUGUGGGGCUGCUGACAUUUCCAUGGCCAGCUCCUUAUUGAUCUAUCCAAACUUUUGCAUCGUAUAGUGUGUACAGCACAUUUUAACGCACACACAUCAUUUACACAUGAAGGCAGGGGCUUGUUCUCACGGCCUUCCUCAUAAUUUAGGGACCCAGUUUAAGAUCGCUCUGCUUGUAUUUAAGUCUUAAUGGUUGGAAACGUCGUAUUUGUAUGAAUUGUUUUUGCUCCGUCCAGAGGAACAACCUCUUGUUUCACAAAACUGUUCUAAAAUACAAACCAAAUACUUGUUCUUUUUGUCAAAUGGGAUUUAUAUGCAAAGUACACUUGGUCCACAGAAGGAUCCUACAAACACUUGUUUUUCUCAAAAGCCAUGUCUUUUUGAUUGUGCAGUGCCUGAAGAACCUAUCGGAUCCUGAUUUUUGCAUUUAAAUUGCAAAUGUUUGAGCGCUACAUCAGCUUGCACGUCCUUUGUAAUUGUCUGUACCUGUGCGACAAUCUAGUACAUUGUUUUGUAAUUGCUCCUAUCCCAAAUGUAACAGCAGAGAUGAAUGGGGUUUAUUUUACCUAACAGCUACUGCAGCUUUCCUACUUCAGCAGAAUAUCGGAAUAUAGCUCCUGCGCUACAUUCUAGUUAUUAAACAUGAACAAUCACACCUGCUUCAAAAAAC